GGUUGGUUCAAAUUCAGCUGUCAAAGUUAUGAGAACAGUGUACUCCAUAAAAGUUUAGAUUGCUAAGUAUUUUAAAUUAGUUACCAGUAAGUGAUUUGAAUAUUUAAGUUAUUUAAUAUAUAUGAGUUAUUUAAAAGCAACCCUGUAGCAUGAACUACUGAAAAAAUAAAAUAAAAUAAAAUAAAGCAAUCCACACUAUCUCCAGCAGGUCACUGGCCAGCCAUGUUCCCAUCUCAUGGAGACUCUCUGAUCCAGAGCUCCGAAAUCUCUCCACUCAGCUCACUAAGUUCCCAUGGAGGGUCACUGCUGUUCUAGGUUCACACUUCCAAAUUUCUGUGACUGUCUGUAGUGCCCUGCCAUCAUACCUUUCUCUGGAACUCAGUUAAGUCGCUGAGUGAAGGAAAACAUCACUCAAUCUUAGUUUAGAGUCAAAAGGCAACAAAGUUGUUGGGCACUAUAAUUAGCAUGCUAAUAGUAAGCCAUUCUAACAGUAGGAAAUCCCUGGGAUCCAUUGCCUGAACUGUGGGUCUCCACUACCUACAUUUUUGCUCCAUCCAAAAGUCCAAAAGCCCUGCCUCUGCUGUCCCUCAGCUGUCCCUCUGCUGUCCCUCAGCUGUCCCUCUGCUGUCCCUCCGCCUGACCCAGAAGUCUUGCUUGCCCAGUGAUUGGUUUCCUAGAAAUCUUUAUUCAUUAGAAGGCUUACCUGUGAAAUCCUUAGUAGCCUGGUCCUAAGUAGCCUUACUUGGGGAAGCAGAAUUAGCAUCAAAAUACAAACUGCAUGAGGGCUAGCCACAACACAACCCCUCACAAAAAAAUUAAGUGGUUUGAAUAGAAUAACCGUCCUUAGGCUUUGAAGACUUGGUCCCCAGCUGGUAAAACUGGGAAGGAUUUGGACAUGUGGCCUCGGUGGAGGAGGUGUGUCACUGGGGUUGGGCUAUGAGGUUGUAAAAGAUUGCUGGUGCUUUCCCUACGUUGGAAUCAAAAUGUAAGUUCCCAGCUGUUCCUGCUGCCAUCCUUUGCUCCAUCGUGUAAUCUAACCCUUUGAAACAUAAGUCCAAAUUAAACACAUUGUUUUAUACAUUGCCUUGGUCUUGGUGUCUUAUUGAAAGGAGCUAAGACAGUGACUUUAUUAAUUGGUAAGUUAUUGCACUUUUAAUGAAAAGAAUUAGAUUUAAACCUUUUUUUGGGCCAUUCUUGUGGGAAGAGGUCAUGGAAUUUUAGAGACUUAAAGCCUAGAGUAUUUUGAAAUACCUGUAGUUGCAAUGGUUAUGUGUCAAGUGAGAGAAACUGCUUUGCAGGGUUUGUAGCUCUGGCUGGUUUGGCACUAUAUAGCUUAGACCUCAAAUUUCUGGCAAUCCUUGUGUCUCAUCCUCUCUAGUGUUGUGAUUACAGGGGUACACCAUCAUGGUUCACUUCUUCAUUGACUUUCUUAAGGUUAAGUAUAGAGAUUGUGUUCAGGUUUUAACCCUUUGGAAAUUUUAAUAGUAGGUUACAUGAUUAUAGCAUAGCAUAGUUUUUAAGUAGUAUACCUGGAUCCUAAAGCCUACAGUUCUUAUUCAUGUUCAGAUUUUCACAUAAACACAUUCUUAGUUUCUGUCAUGAGUGUUCUGAAUUAGUAUGCAGUAGAGUAGUAAAGUCUGAAAUUAGAAACAUGCUUAUUUGGACCAAAUGAAUUCUCCUUUAAUCAUAUAAAAUAAUUUUGCCUUAUUUUAAAAUAAAAUAUCAAAGAUAGAAUAAGUACUUCUAGGCUAAAAUUGUUAAGAAUUGUACAUGUGGGAGUGGAGAGACAGCUUAGUGGCUAAGAGCUCUGACUGCUUUUCCAGAGGACUCAGGUUUAAUUCCUAGGAGAUCUUACAUCCUCUUCUGGUAUCUUUGGGCAAACAUCCAUACACAUAAAGAUAAAUGCAUAAAAUUUAAAAAGAAAAACCUUAUAAAAGUGAAUUGUAAAUGUAAGAGUAUUCACAAAUAUAUAUGUGUAUGUAUGUAUGUGUAUAUAUAUAUAUAUAUUUUUUUUUUAAUUUAUUUUUUUGAGACAGGGUUUCUCUGUGUAGCCCUGGCUGUCCUGGCACUCACUUUGUAGACCAGGCUGGCCUUGAACUCAGAAAUCUGCCUGCCUUUGCCUCCAAGUACUGGGAUCAAAGGCGUGUGCCACCACCGUCCGGCCCCAUAUUUUAUAACUG
rnacentral:lncRNA from 1 species